UUUCGUGAGCCUCAACCUCUUCGCCUCAUUGUUUGACGUUCCUGGAUCCGUCAUACGUUCCUGCUUCCUUCCUGUUGUCUUGUUGUUCUUAGCCUCAUUGCUCUUACCUUUCGUGAGCCUCAACCUCUUCGCCUCAUUGUUUGACGUUCCUGGAUCCGUCAUACGUUCCUGCUUCCUUCCUACGUUCCUGGAUCCGGAGCCUCAUUGCUCUUACCUUUCGUGAGCCUCAACCUCUUCGCCUCAUUGUUUGACGUUCCUGGAUCCGUCAUACGUUCCUGCUUCCUUCCUACGUUCCUGGAUCCGGAGCCUCAUUGCUCUUACCUUUCGUGAGCCUCAACCUCUUCGCCUCAUUGUUUGACGUUCCUGGAUCCGUCAUACGUUCCUGCUUCCUUCCUACCUUCCUGGAUCCGGAGCCUCAUUGCUCUUACCUUUCGUGAGCCUCAACCUCUUCGCCUCAUUGUUUGACGUUCCUGGAUCCGUCAUACGUUCCU